CACAGGAGAGCUUGCUCUCGGGUGACGAGCGGCGGACGGGUGAGUAAUGUCUGGGAAACUGCCUGAUGGAGGGGGUUAACUACUGGAAACGGUAGCUAAUACCGCAUAACGUCGCAAGACCAAAGAGGGGGACCUUCGGGCCUCUUGCCAUCAGAUGUGCCCAGAUGGGAUUAGCUAGUAGGUGGGGUAACGGCUCACCUAGGCGACGAUCCCUAGCUGGUCUGAGAGGAUGACCAGCCACACUGGAACUGAGACACGGUCCAGACUCCUACGGGAGGCAGCAGUGGGGAAUAUUGCACAAUGGGCGCAAGCCUGAUGCAGCCAUGCCGCGUGUAUGAAGAAGGCCUUCGGGUUGUAAAGUACUUUCAGCGGGGAGGAAGGCGAUAAGGUUAAUAACCUUGUCGAUUGACGUUACCCGCAGAAGAAGCACCGGCUAACUCCGUGCCAGCAGCCGCGGUAAUACGGAGGGUGCAAGCGUUAAUCGGAAUUACUGGGCGUAAAGCGCACGCAGGCGGUCUGUCAAGUCGGAUGUGAAAUCCCCGGGCUCAACCUGGGGAACUGCAUUCGAAA
rnacentral:rRNA from 1 species